rnacentral:rRNA from 1 species
UACGGAGGAUGCGAGCGUUAUCUGGAUUUAUUGGGUUUAAAGGGUGCGUAGGCGGGUUAUCAAGUCAGCGGUAAAAUCGUGGAGCUCAACUCCAUCCAGCCGUUGAAACUGAUGAUCUUGAGUGGGCGAGAAGUAUGCGGAAUGCGUGGUGUAGCGGUGAAAUGCAUAGAUAUCACGCAGAACUCCAAUUGCGAAAGCAGCAUACCGGCGCCCGACUGACGCUGAAGCACGAAAGCGUGGGUAUCGAACAGG